AGCAGCCGCGGUAAUUCCAGCUCCAAUAGCGUAUAUUAAAGUUGUUGCAGUUAAAAAGCUCGUAGUUGAAUUUCGAGACCGGCUUACUGGUCGUGCUAUUGUACGUACUGGUAUAAUCGGUUUCUCCUUUCUGACGAACUAUAAUGCCAUUAAUUUGGUGUUUUAGGGAAUCAGGACUGUUACUUUGAAAAAAUUAGAGUGUUUAAAGCAGGCUCACGCUUGAAUACAUUAGCAUGGAAUAACGGAAUAGGACGUUUGAUUCUAUUUUGUUGGUUUCUAGGAUCGACGUAAUGAUUAAUAGGGAUAGUUGGGGGCAUUAGUAUUCAAUUGUCAGAGGUGAAAUUCUUGGAUUUAUUGAAGACUAACUACUGCGAAAGCAUUUGCCAAGGAUGUUUUCAUUAAUCAAGAACGAAAGUUAGGGGAUCGAAGACGAUCAGAUACCGUCGUAGUCUUAACCAUAAACUAUGCCGACUAGGGAUCGGAUGAUGUUAAUUUUUAAUGUACUCAUUCGGCGCCUUAC
rnacentral:rRNA from 1 species